rnacentral:rRNA from 1 species
AGGAUGAACGCUGGCGGCGUGCCUAAUACAUGCAAGUCGAGCGGCAGCGCAGGGUGCUUGCACCCUGGCGGCGAGCGGCGGACGGCUGAGUAACGCGUAGGAACGUACCCUAAAGUGAGGAAUAACUGCCCGAAAGGGUGGCUAAUGCCGCAUGUGCUCUUCGGAGUAAAGCUUCGGCGCUUUGGGAACGGCCUGCGUCCGAUUAGCUAGUUGGUAAGGUAAUGGCUUACCAAGGCUACGAUCGGUAGCUGGUCUGAGAGGAUGACCAGCCAGACUGGGACUGAGAACGGCCCAGACUCCUACGGGAGGCAGCAGUAGGGAAUUUUCCGCAAUGGGCGCAAGCCUGACGGAGCGACGCCGCGUGUGGGAAGAAGGCCUUCGGGUCGUAACCACUGUCGAAGGGGAAGAUAAUGACGGUACCCUUGGAGGAAGCCCCGGCUAACUACGCGCCAGCAGCCGC